rnacentral:rRNA from 1 species
GAUGAACGCUGGCGGCGUGCUUAACACAUGCAAGUCGAACGGUGAAGCAGGAGCUUGCUCUUGUGGAUCAGUGGCGAACGGGUGAGUAACACGUGAGCAACCUGCCCCUGACUCUGGACAAGCGCUGGAAACGGCGUCUAAUACUGGAUAUGUGAUGUGACCGCAUGGCCUGCAUCUGGAAAGAAUUUCGGUUGGGGAUGGGCUCGCGGCCUAUCAGCUUGUUGGUGAGGUAAAGGCUCACCAAGGCGUCGACGGGUAGCCGGCCUGAGAGGGUGACCGGCCACACGGGGACUGAGACACGGGCCAGAAUCCUACUGGAGGCAGCAGUGGGGAAUAUUGCACAAUGGGCGGAAGCCUGAUGCAGCAACGCCGCGUGAGGGAUGACGGCCUUCGGGUUGUAAACCUCUUUUAGCAGGGAAGAGGCGAAAGUGACGGUACCUGCAGAAAAAGCACCGGCUAACUACGUGCCAGCCGCCGCAGUAA